rnacentral:lncRNA from 1 species
UCUAUGAAAACAAAAUUCUUCUCUAUAUUCAUUAACGACAUUGGUACUCAAAUAGGAUUUGUAAAGAGCCGCUGGAUUUUAUCCUUGUAAGCAACAUUACAUUAAAACUGAAAGCAAUUAAAUUAAACAAUCCUAUAGGCCCAUUCAAAUUAAGAAGUCUUCCAUCCAUCUAGGUUUAUUAAUCUGACGUUUGGACUUGUUGUUGUUAGAUCAUGGUGUAACAUUACCGUUGGUUUAGGCACUUUGUUCUCAAAGUGAGUGUGAUGAACUUGUUGGGCUGAUUGGUUGGGCUUGGCUGUAAUUGGAAUUUGUUGAGGCUUCUUCUUCCUGCACCCCCACGUUUUUCUUCCUACACCCCACAAUUUUAAAAAUUCCAACAUUACCCUUGACCUAAAAUUUGAAAAGGGCACUGUUCUGCAUUUCCAUAAUCACUGAUCAUUUUUAUCCUUGGGUAUCAACUGCAAUGUCAAAUUUAAAUAAAGUUUACUACAAAACACUACAAAACCUAGUAUAAUUGUUUACCCAAACACUAAAUAAAGUUUAAAUAUAAUACCAAGCAAAACACUACAAAACCUUGACCCAGUAUAAUUGUUGUUUACUAAUUUGAGUAACACAAACACAAACAGCAACUCAUUAUUCCGGACACAUCAAUCCGCUACAAUACCGGAUCCAUAAAUUUGGAAGCUUACCGGAUCCAUAAAUUUGGAAGCUUACUGGAUCCCGAAAU